CCGAACAGCAGAGCAGAGUAUUUCAGGAGAGAGGAUCAGAGGAAGGAGCAUAGUCCUCCAGCAGAGCAGAGUAUUUCAGGAGAGAGGAGUCAGAGGAAGGAGCGGAGUCCCCCAGCAGAGCAGCGUAUUUCAGGAGAGGAGAGU